GCUGAAGGGACCUCCACAUGGAGUAUGUGGACAGAGGAAUUCCAAGUCUUCAGAUUGGGAGGAAGUGAAGAUGAAGGAGCCAUCCUUUGCGUCCAGCAUGCGAAGGCAGAGGAUCUCCAGCCCAGGGAAGGGGCUCCCCUGCACCCACAGGCCUCAGUCACGCUCAGAUGGAGGUCAAGCUGGGUGGAGGCUGCCUGCUGUCUUGGGCGACGUGAGCGGAGGAGGAGAGAAGAGCUCUGCUUUAAGACCCAGGCCCACUCCUGAGGAAGGGACCAUAAGGCCUUGGUUCUUGGCCUCCUGGCAACUUUGGGAAAGCUCCUCGUGACGUCUUGAGUCUCACAACCUCUUCUAAGAACUCGAGCACUCGCAGCAGCUCUGCCGUCUCCUCUUCUUGUUCAACCAUUUGGCUCUCUCUCCCUUCAGUUCCUGAGCCAGGUCAGUCAAUUCCUCCUUCAGCAUUGCGUUGGUCCUCUUCACCUUUCUGUGAGUGUCUGUGAGGCUGGCUAUAGUCAGUGACUCUUUCUCCAGCCUGGCAAUCUCUAAAGAUGAUUGCAUCCCCAGAUACUCCUUUGAGCAGCGCCAAGCUUGUCAACGAGCUGGCAUUUCUCCUCAAUCCCUGCAGCCACUGCUUCUGCCAGCCGCUGUUCACAUUGUACAUAAAGUUGACUUCUAACAGACUGAACCAGUCUGAAUAUAAAUAAGAUGCCCACCAGUAAACUGAGGGCAGGUGGGCACAUCACUGUCUCCCACUGGAGGCUGUGGAAAGUGAGUCAUGGACUCAGGAUAUCGGGCAGCAUCUCCACCACCACCUCGCCCAGCUUGCCAAGGAUCAUCCCCAAGCCAAGCUGCACAGAGGACAGCAGCCCCUCCAUGGCACUGACCCACCACAGGGCUCUGCCCAGUUACCACAGAUCCACCAGCCACAGCACACUCCAGGGAACACCCCGACAUUCCGCCUGGAACCCAACCAGCAACUGACAGUCUGGAAAGGUCAGUUAUAUGGUGGGUGUUGGGGGAGAUUUGUAAAUAAAUGAUGCUCAUCUCCAUUACUGUUUAAUGUUCCUUCUAAAUUCCCUCUUUCUUCUUUGUUUGUAUUUAUAUAAAGUUAAAACAUAAUGAAAUGUGUCUACAUUAAGUGUAUGACUUGACACAUCUUUAAAACCAUAUACCCCCUACAGCAUUCAAGAACCCUUUCAAUAAAUGAAUCACAUCUGUUAGCACAGAAAAUACCUCCCUGUACCUUUUCAACCAAUCCCACCCUCUCCCAUCAUCCAUAGCCUCUGUUGUGCUUUGUGGAAACGUACAUCACUUUUGCAGGUCUUGAACUUCACAUAAGUGAAAUAAAUGAGAAUGUACACUUUGUUGUCGCACACUUUUAUUCAAAAUAAUGUCUUUGAGGACUAUCCAAGUUUUUGUGUCGAUAUAAGUUCACUCUGUGCUUAUUGGUAAAUGAGGCAUUGUACAAAUAUAUCAAAAAGAUUAAUCAAUUCUCCUUUUAGUGGACAUUUUGAGUUGCUUUCAGUUUAAUGUCUUUUGAAUAAAUAUAUUGUGAAUAUUUAUCCCUAUGCCCUUUUUAUAAAUAUGUGUUUCCAUUUGCCCUUGAUGAACACUUGGGAGAAGAAAUAUCAAGUAAGUGUAUGUUAAAUUUCUUAUUUGGAGAAAACAUUGAGGUGUAAUUUAUAUGUCCUGACAUUCACUUAUAAGUGUAGAAUUCAUUGGUUUCUGUAAUUGUACAGAAUUCCACAGUGAUCACACAAUUCACUUUUAGAACGUUUCCAUCACCCCGAAAGAUUCCUCCCACUUUACACUAUUGGGUGCAUUUGACACCGUUGGUCCCUCUUUUCUUGAAAUGCUUCUAUCACCUACCUGACAACUCCUCACACGCCAGUACAUGUUUUCUUUCUGUGCUCACUGGCCUUUCCUUGUCUGUCUCUAUUGCUGAUUUCCAUUUUCUCCCAUAUUUCUCAGCAUUAGUUUUAACUCAAAACUGAAUUCUUGGAGCAAUAUCAGCAAGAUGGUUGAGUAAGAGUUUCCAGCAGUCAUCCCUUUGCAGAAACAGCAAUCUGAUGAAUGAUCCACUCACGAAAAUGCCUUCACAAGAGCCAAGGAUUCUGGGCCACCAGAUCUCAAGAGUGAGGAUUGUGGGCCGGCCAUGAGCCCCCAACCCCACAAGCCCCUCUUGGAGCUUGAGGAGGUAAGGAGGGAACAAGGCCAUGCAGCCUGCUGCCAUCUCAGCUUUCAGAAGAUACUGUCAGCCGAGCCACGGGGACCCCGGUGCUUUGAGAACUGAACACAUGAAAGCUGGAGCCGCAUAAACACACAGAGAGGCUGGGACUGCCCGACACACACGGAGGCACAGUGACAGCAGAGGGCAGGAGAGGAGCUGACACAGAGCCCAGACAUCUACAGAGCCGCCGAGUCCAGAUCAGCCGGGCCUGGGUCCCUGCUGCUCCACUCUGCUAGGGCCAGGGAAGCUCUGGGGUGAUGGGUGCGCCCAAGGCCCAGUGCAUCCAAAUCCCGCCCCCUAAUUCCCUUGACCUCGGUGAGAUGGAGGCAGAUAAAACAACUGAGGCAGGGCCGGCUAAGCAAAGACUGCCUCCCAGACCAGCCCUCUCCCUACAGCUCCCUCCUGCACCGCAGGGGCACCUCUGCCUGGGAGCAGGGUCCACCCAAUUCUGCACCAGGCCAGCCAAUGACUCAGGAGGGAACCAAUUCAGGACACAGAAGCCUGAAGCCCAAGCCUGACUCUGUGGCUGAUCCAAGGCCCCAAGCGGCCCCGCUCCUAGCGCUCCAAGGACAGACGCCUCACCAAGUAAAGCCCCAGAGAAGCAGGGAUGUGUGCUUAUUGCACGCCCACUGUAUACCCAGCUUCACUUUGCAAAGUAUCCCCAUCACGAAUGAGGCGAGAGAGCUCGGGAGACGCAUGGCACGCCUGCCAUUGCGGCAGGUGGGGGGUAGGGUCAGGACACAGAUUUCUAGCUCCUCUCAGACUUCCUAGCAAAGUUGUGCAAAGGCAGCACAGCAAGCCCUGUGGCAGCACACGUGUGAGCAGAAGCCAGGCCUUCCCACAUGGCUCUGUGUCCCUCCUGGUCUGAGUGUGGGGUCUGCGCUCCCAGACCUGUUUUGGGCGUCUGCCCAAGCUUUUCACUCUCCAUGAG
rnacentral:lncRNA from 1 species